GCCAGGAUAGCUCAGGGGUAGAGCAACUGAUUCGUAAUCAGUAGGUCGUGGGUUCAAUUCCCACUUCUGGCU
rnacentral:tRNA from 1 species